AACAGUGCCUUGCUUGACCCUUUCACCCUGACUCUGCUGUCUAAUGAAGCACACAGACUCAUCAGCAAUUUUUUGAGGUUUGGUGUUAAGGACGAGAUUUAUAUGAGAGAAGAUAAAGUGGUGACUAAAUACUGCGUCUUCAACUGAUAGAUCCAGGUGAACACACUGGGAUUCAUCACGGAAAGAACUCAACCCAUGGAGAAUGAAGAGGAGCAAGACAGGAAAAUCACCCAUCUGGGAAUGGCAUGGAGCCAGGGGAGGCUCCCCAACCAUGGGGAAAUGGUGCUCACCAUUGGCCAGCCCCACCAAAAGCCAAACUAUAAGGAGGCAUCCAGCCAAACAGCCUCUUCAGUCUUGGAACAGCUUGGAAAAUGAAUCUGGAAGGACAAAUAGGUGAUCUACAGCAUAAUCUCCAUUAUAGUGUACUUUCUCUUCAUCCGGUUGAUUUGGUUUGGAUCUGUGUCCCCACCCAAAUCUCAUGUUGAACUGUAAUCUCCAGUGUUGGAGGUGGGGCCUCGUGGGAGGUGUUUGGAUCAUGAAGGCAGAUUCCUUAUGAAUGAUUUGGGCCAUCCCUUUGGUGAUGAGUGAGCUCUUGCUCUGAGUUGACAGGAGAUCUGGUCAUUCAAAAGUGUGUGACAUGCUCCCUGCCUCCACCUGCUCUUGCUCAUGCUUUUGCCAUGUGACUUGCCUGCCCCUUGUUCGCCUUCUGCCAUGAUUGUAAGCUUCCAGAAGCCUCCCUGGAAGCUGAGUAGUUGCCAGCACCAUGCUUCCUGUAAAGUCUGAAGAACUGUGAAUGAAUUAAACUUCUUUUCUUUAUAAAUUACUUUAUAAAUGGUAAAGGUAUUUCUUUACAGUAAUGCAAGAAUGCCCUAAUACACAGGUCCGAGAUCAAAGGAUAAAAAAUUA
rnacentral:lncRNA from 10 species